rnacentral:misc_RNA from 1 species
GAUGAAGAACUUAGCGAAAUGCGAUAAGUAGUGUGAAUUGCAGAAUUCAGUGAAUCAUCGAAUCUUUGAACGCACAUUGCGCCCCUUGGUAUUCCAUGGGGCAUGCCUGUUCGAGCGUCAUUUGUACCUUCAAGCUCUGCUUGGUGUUGGGUGUUUGUCUCGCCUCUGCGUGUAGACUCGCCUCAAAACAAUUGGCAGCCGGCGUAUUGAUUUCGGAGCGCAGUACAUCUCGCGCUUUGCACUCAUAACGACGACGUCCAAAAGUACAUUUUUACACUCUUGACCUCGGAUCAGGUAGGGAUACACGCUGAACUUAAGCAUAUCAAUAAGCGGAGGA